AUUGAACGCUGGCGGCAGGCCUAACACAUGCAAGUCGAAGCGGUAGAGAGAAGCUUGCUUCGUCUUGAGAGCGGCGGACGGGUGAGUAAUGCCUAGGAAUCUGCCUGGUAGUGGGGAUAACGUUCGGAAACGGACGCUAAUACCGCAUACGUCCUACGGGAGAAAGCAGGGGACCUUCGGGCCUUGCGCUAUCAGAUGAGCCUAGGUCGGAUUAGCUAGUUGGUGAGGUAAUGGGCUCACCAAGGCGACGAUCCGUAACUGGUCUGAGAGGAUGAUCAGUCACACUGGAACUGAGACACGGUCCAGACUCCUACGGGAGGCAGCAGUGGGGGAAUAUUGGACAAUGGGCGAAAGCCUGAUCCAGCCAUGCCGCGUGUGUGAAGAAGGUCUUCGGAUUGUAAAGCACUUUAAGUUGGGAGGAAGGGCAGUUACCUAAUACGUAUCUGUUUUGACGUUACCGACAGAAUAAGCACCGGGCUAACUCUGUGCCAGCAGCCGCGGGUAAAUA
rnacentral:rRNA from 1 species